AAGAGGGAAAAGAUUGGAACAGAUCCACUCACCAACUAGAGCAGCCGAGGCACUGGGAAAAGCCUAGAAGAAUGAAAAGGCUAUUAGCACCAGCAGUACAGUUGCUCAUCAGUUAGAAUUAAUGCUAUGCAAAACGUCAGAAACACUGAUCCGCACGAAAAUAGGACUGGGGCAGUAUCUAAUUCAUCAGCACAAAAAGUCAAAUUAAAAUAAAGAUCCACUCACCCACUACAGCAGUAGAAGCACAGCGAGAAGCCUAGAGGAGCCAAGGCAGUGAAAAGCCUAGAAGAAUGAAAAA